CAUCUCGCCGAGGACAGAAGAGAUGGUGGAGGGAGAAACCAUGCCGCGGACAUGGGAUACCCAGCCGCGUAGUCGGUCGGGCCGCGUAUGGUGGUCAGAGAUCUUCUUUCGAGCAUGCUGGAGAAAAUGGUGCCCUCAACGGGCGCGAUUGGUUGUCUAUGGGGUAGGAAUUCCUCACCGGAGCUACUCUGCCGCCGCGGGGCCGCAAUACAUCAUGGUCUGGGUCCCUAGGUGCAUAAUCAUCGGUAAGUAAUUCUCUUGUGUGUUCACCAUGUUCUCAGGAAUGAUUUGUACCUUGCAACACGUAGAUCCGGGCACCGGGUCGCCAUGUCGCUGCUCACCGACGUGUCCAGGCCAUGAAGCGACAGUCGCCGCCGUAGUGCUCCGCCAGGGGAGAGUGUGGCGGGCGCUGUCAGAUCUAAUUUAUGCACUCAGGAUAAGAUCGGGGGCGUACCCCUUCACGGUUGGGUUUGGGCCAUCCGAUCCAAAUCGGUCGGAUGAAAAGCGAUCUUAGUGAUUUAAAAUCUGAACCGUUGGAUCGUGAUCCGGUGGUCAAGUAUUGAUACUGGUUCGCAGGAAAUUGAAACCUAAUCCUGGCCCUUUGUUUUGAUCGGACGACCGCGGACACCCAUACCACUUCGGCCUCGUACAUUUUGCUAAAGAGUCCCUACCCUUUCAUUGAAUAAACCUGCCAUCCAGCCGUAUUCAAAAAUAAUUAUAAGCAGGUCCCGCUUUUAGUAUUUUAGCCCCUGGCUUUUAUACAAAUAGUAACCACAGUCCAAGAGUCCACCGAAUUAUAUAAAAGGAAUAAGAAAUUGAUUUUAGGAAUGAAAAUAAAUCCAAAAAGUUAAAAAAAAUCAUAACUUGUUCAUUUUUAUCUCUGAAUUACUCCGUUCAAGUUACGUUGGCUUUGUAAUAAAAUUGUCUAUGCAGUCGAGAACCUUAUUUUGUUCUAUCACAUACCUUUAUAACUAGUCAAGUGCCCGUGCGUUGCGACGGCACACAAAUUAUUCAUGCACAAUGAUUACAUAAAAACAAGUAACAUAUUAUGGACCACAAUCUUAUAAAAUAUACAAAUCAAUUUACAAUCAAACGUGAAUAUACAUUAAAAUUCAUACUAAAAGGACAGGAAUAACAAGUGAGCAAAAAUUCUAAAUCUUUGUUUUUAUCAUAAACUCGAGUAUUUACAAAUAAAUCACGUAUAUCUAAAGCCAACUAAACACUGAUGCGCUUAAUAAUCUUUUGUAUUUCUUCUGGAAUAUUGUCAUUACAUUCAUUGUCCUGGUACUUCAUCAACUCUACCAAGAAUUUGGUCCUCAGUACACUUGAAGUCUGUACAUUCGAUAUAAGACAACAUUAAAUUCAGUAAAGACAAUUAGUUAUAAAAAAUGAUAUUGACCAAGAAUUAGAACUACACAGUUACUCACAGUGGAAAUGCAGGGUAACCUUUUACCAUUCCACGAGUGCAUAAAGUUGAUAACAAGAAAGCCUGAUAAAUCCCUACAAAUUAAAAUAACUCGUUCUUACGUGUAUAUAUAGCCAAAAUUAUUUAGUUGUCUUCAAGGUAUAAGAAAUUACCAGUUUAAUGUUUUUGGAACCCAUGAUGGUACUAUACGACGCCACAUAUAAAUAUCGUCUUUCCAUGUAGGAUUAGCCAAUUUCAUGGCAACAUUCAUAUUAUUGGCAAUAUUAUGUAUUUUGUGAAUAUAAUGCAUGCUUGGAUCGUUACCCUUAAACCAUGAUGGUAGAGGCAUGGAGUCCAUUAUAUAGAUGCUUCUGGUGUUCAUGUUAAAUACAUAUAAACUGAAGUGACCCAAGAAACAAAAGGGCAAUAGAAUCUGCAAGUUAAACAAACAUCUUAAGAGAACAAAAUUAAAGAUUACAAAAAAUAUAAAGGAGUAAUAGCUUACUUGGCUGCAAUCUGAAAUAGUAUACUCCAUGUCAGGCCAACAUUCAAAUAAAUUCGCCAAUACAUUGGUAUCUAGCUUUGCACGAAGGCGAGGGUCUUGACCAUAAUUAGUUAUGGACUGUUUAUUACCAUGUUAGUAAAAUAUAGUAAUAUAAUGAUCAUAUUUAUAUGAAAAUAGUUUAAUCACUAAUCAACAUACACAGAACUGUAGAUCCAUGUAGUGGUAUUUGUUUUCCAACAAGAACAAGGCAUCACUGCAUGCGAUCAUCCGAACAGCUAUGUUGAAGCAAUCCUUAUCCAUCGGUUUAUUUACAUCCAAUAUAUUUUUAAGCUGUUGAAGACUUAAAGAAAUUGGAUAAGGCUUGGUGCUCUGAAUCCAAUGUUUCCUAUUAAAUAAAUAUUUGUUUUCAUAGUUAAAGAAAGAUCAUAGAUGUUGAAUAUUUAUCAUAUCUAUAAAAAACAUUAACUUACUCCAAAUAUUCGGCGUCGUCUAUCUCCAUGAUGUAUGUGCAUAAUGCACUCAUCAGUUCUUGUGUGUUUGUUGAUGUUAAUGUAGCGGGCAGAGCACAUGACGAUAUAAAUGGUUGAACCUGGGAUGAUGCAUUUAACGAUAUAGGUAACUCACAAGGAGUCUUGAUUAUCUCAACAUCACAUGAACUUCCUCCAUCUUCAUCUGCAUGAUGGUUAGUCUCUUGAUGUCCUUUCUUUGUGUUUAAUCUUGAGUUCCACAAUAUUGCAGGUAGCUUAAAUCUAAACUUUGUUAUAUCGUUCUGCAAAUGAUAUAAAUUAGAACAAAAUAAACAUUGUUCAUAUGAAAUGCAACUCAUCUACCUGAGUUAUGUUAUUAGACAGAGAAGACCCUGUCCAAUAUUCCAUAUAGUUCACCAUCCAUAGACCGCAAGAAACCCUAAACAUAAUUUAAAAACAAUAGGUGAGUUUCUAUGUAUAUGAAAACAAACACAAUCAAUUCUGUAAAGUAAUGGUCACAAGAAUUUUACCCAUCGGUUUGCAUUUGCUUUGUAAUCUUUUCUAUAACUGGCCAUGAUGUAACAUCAAUGUCUGACCACUUAUCCCGGUUAAGUUCUUUAUGUUCUGCUACAAUUUUAAUCUGUCUUUCUAGACCUUUUAACUAUGUGGCAAACAAAUAAAAUUUUAAGAUUGAAAGAUAGCAAAUAAUGUAAUGCUAAAAUAAUCACAUAUAUAUAUAAGGAAUAAUUACUCACUGUAGUAUAAAGGUCUCGACGAUCCGUUAUUUGUGGUCCCAUAGAAUCGAGUAUAUGUACCUCAUUUUUUUUAGCAUUGACAAUCGCCAGGUACCAGUGAAAAUUUUCUAUGUUUAUUGGAAUGAACACCUGCAUCGAACAUAUGCAUUAAAAUUAAUUUGCAAGUGUUGUGCACCAAUAUAUUACAUGUCUUAGAAUGAGUUGAUUUUUAAGUUAACCAUGUCAGCUUGUAAAUAGUUGUCCACCCUGUUUUCAAGUGUGUCUUCCUUACAAUUCAAGAGUAUCUUAGGAUCACCAUCACGCUUAAGCAAGCUGGAAAUGAACGUGCUCUCUAAGAAGACCUUUCCACCUUCUCUAUGAAGUAUAUGCUCUUCAUCUCUAAUAGAAUGUAUAUAUGCACUAAGGACCUGUAUACCAAAACAAUACAAUUGGUACAUUAAAUUUACAGGUUAGAUUUAAAUUUGAAUACCUUACAAUAUAAUAGGAUAGAUAUAAAGAUAUAUAUUUUAUUUUAUAUUAUAUAAUAUAGAUGUACUUGCCUCGCCAGUCAAUUGCAAGUCACCAUGGAAAAGACAUUCCAUAUCAUAUCUAUUUAACCAAGCGGUGUCGAUGUUCACCACAACUUGUUUUCCCGGUAGUGAUUUAAUGUAUUCAAUAAGUUGAAGAUCUUCUGUAGUGCACGUAUAAUCUAUAUAUAAUGAACAAAUUAUACUUCAUAUGCAAAUGAUAUAUGAGAAACCGAUAGGAUGCAACAAGGUAAGAACCAAAAAUAAUUACCUUUGGGUAAAACUCGAGCCACAUUCAACUUCUUUGGUUUGUUAUGCUCGCAUAUCCUAAUCAAAGUGUCCAAGUUAUCUUGUUCGAUCUGCUCCAACGUAUCCACAUCAGAACUUAUUUGAGUUGAUUCAUUUUGAACAUCCAAGGAUGACAAGGGAGUCACAUCUGUGUGAGGAGUAAAAAACAUCAAUAUAUUGAAAAAGCAUUAUUUAGUAGAAAAUUAUAAGACAACAUUUAGUAAUCAUCAGACAGAGAGCAUUUAGAAAUCUAGAUAUGAGAGCCUACUCGGUUGUUCUCCAACAUCGGCUUUAGCUGACACAUGAACUGGGUCACUUCCUACUGCCACAACAUCAAGCGAUUGUUCUACAACAUUACCAACAAUGUCCUUAAUAUUCUCCCCAUCAUUAUUAUCUAUGGUGCACAAGAGAAUAAUUAGGUGUCAAACAAAAAAAUAUUGUUGAAAUUACUCCAAUGUAGUUAUUGAUAACAGCUCUUACCCAAUUCGUGUGUGUCACUGCAUUUGAUUAGAAUUUGAGCUGAACAACCACUACCCGCCAUAUCCUCAAAUGAUGGAUUAACAAUAGUGCCGACAUCAACCUUUUCUUCAUCCAUCUCUAAUAUCCAUGGUGAUUUAGUAGAGAUAUAAAAACAUAUUGCAUUAGGGAAAGCAUUAAAAAGGAAACAAAACAUUCGAUAAAAUGUGCAAACAAAACAUUCGAUAAAAUGAUAGUGCACAACGAUUACAUAAAAAACAAGCACCACAUAUAUUAUCGACCUCAAUAUCUCACAAAUAAUUUGGCAACAACUAAUACAUAACUAAACUGGUAUGAAUAAAAUGUGUACUACAGUGUGAAUGUCACAAAAACAAAGUCUAAGAAGUGAGGACUUCUUUGUACACUAUAUUCUUUGUAUAUGUCUCAUUCGAGUUUUUGCUCAGAACCAUUUCUCCAGCCG
rnacentral:lncRNA from 1 species